AACAAUCCCACCUCUUUGAAAUCUAGAAACAAUCCCACCUUUAACCCCCAUUAGUAACCUGUUUAAGAAGGUGACUUGACACGUGUCACCUUCUUAUUGGUUUUUGUUUUUUUUAAUAAUUUAUUUAAAAAAAGGAUAAUUAAAAAAAUAAAUUAAUAACCCUUUCCCACUUCCUCGAUCCCUUCCCUUGCCGAACUGACUCACCUGGCCUCCCCCAACCGGAGUUUAUCCCUCCCCUUGCCGGAGCCACGACAACCUACAAAACCACCAUCGCACCUGAUUAUUAAUUUCACUUCUAGCCCCUUUCAUCUUCCUUCUUCUCCUAAUCCCCCACCUUAACUAGCUCCCCUCUUCCUGCCGGUGCUAGAGCCCCACCCACUAAAUUGCAGCCCCUAUCCCCUAGUGUAUAGCAGCCCUCAAUCGACUAUUGCUCCAGUUUUGUAAGGUUUCGACUGACAAUUGCGCGAGAAAUCGGAUUUGAGAGGGGAAGAAGAUUAGCGUACGGAGGUGAAUUGGUGAAGUUGAUAGGUGGUUAAUGUUUAUCGGUGGAGUGGCAGGAUGGUGGAGUUAAGACCUGAGAGGUGGUGUGGGUUUUCGGUGUAGGUGGUUGCUAAAUGAAAGAGGUUUUUGGGAUGUGGUGUCGAGCUAGUGGUGGGGGUGAGUUUCCGGUUAAGGGGUGGAGUUUAUAUGGGUCGCCGGAGUUGGGUUGCGAGGUCAGCUGGGGUUGGACAGCACAGGCGUGUGAUUUAGUCGGGGGGGUUAUAUGGUGGGUAGGCCUGGUUAUUGUGUAUGGCUACUCAAUGGCAAAAGGGUCGGGCCUAAUACUAAAGGGUUUUGACCCUUUAAUUUUUUAGUGGACAAGGCUUUUAUAAGGUCUUAUUUUAUAGGGCUUUUAUAGGGUUUCCAGUUAGAGCCCAAUAAUUUAAGAAUUAAAAUAAAAAGUCCAAUAAUUGGUUAAGGGUCAGCCCCACUCACCCCUUCUCUGACUUAACCCCAAUAACAAUUUACAGAAACCUUUCUCUCUCCUCCAUUGAAGCGCACUCAGAGUUCUCCAUUGAAGUUGCUUCUCAGCUUUUCAGAUAUCAUCAUUUUCUCUCUCUUAAUCUGUUCCUCAAUUUUGAUUCAUGUUUUCGUUUUGUUAAUGUUUGAUCGUCGGCAUUAGCUUUUUUGUUGCGCAUUUUUGGCUCAAAUUGUGAUACUUUUAAUAAGAUUGAUUAAGAGGAAUUAUUUCUGUAUAAUUGAAGUACACAUUUCAGUCCUUUAAAUCAUGUUCCUGAGGCAGAGUAUUCGAUAAUUUGCCAUUCGAUUAGGUUUGUAUUUUGUGUCAUUGUGAAUCAUGAUGUAUUGUGAUGUGGAUUAAGGAAGUGCAACUGAGCUUUUAGCAUCAAAGUUAUGGAGUUGGUUGUGGCAGUUGGCAUGUAAGAAGGUGGUUCCUUCACCGGAGUAUUCUAUCAUUUCUUUUGAUGAAUCGUGUGUUCCUUAAUAUGGAUGAUGAUACUACUACUACUACUACUACUUCUAUGGCACGUGAUGAUGGAUAUAAUGAAUACAUCACUCUGCAACGAAAGAGAAAAAAGAGAUCUAAAGUUUGGAGAGAGCUUAUUGAAGGGAAGAAUGUUCAAGGUUAGAGAAUUGCUACAUGUACGUGUACAUUGUAAUUCUAUUUUAUCUGUACAUCGUAAUAGUGGUACAUCUCAUUUGAAGCGUCAUUUAGAGAGGUGUACAAAUAGGCCUCUAGGACUUACAUUUUAGGAAGAUAGUGAUGAAGAAAAUUUUGUUUUUGACAUGAAUGAACUUCAAAAAGAGAUUCUUAAUUUCAUUAUUGAGGGAGGUCAUUCAUUCACUAUGGUUGAAGAACAAGGAUUUAGGAGAAUGAUGAAAAGAGCUACCCCUAAGUUUAAACCAUUUGGCCAUGCAACCACAAAGAGAGAUUUAUUGAAGGCUUAUGUAUUGGAGAGGGAUGUUGUCUAAUGUUUCGGGUAGAAUUUGUUUAACAACCGAUAAUUGGAAAUCAAAUCAUACUAGACAUCAUUUCAUUUGUGUCACUUCUCACUUUGUUGAUGAGUGGGAAAAGGUAAGUGUGAUUCACAAUUUUUUGGAGUUGUUUUAUGAGGUUACUUAGCUUGUAUGUUUUCGACGGUGAAUUAUCCUACUUCUAAUGUGUAUUUUAAAGGUGCAUGGAUGGUGCAUCACCAUUUGCUUGAGGCGGAGAAAGGUUCUUAUGAUUAUUUAAAGGAAAUGGUGAAACCAAUGCUUGAAAAAUUUGACAAAUAUUGGUCGGAUUACAAUUUGUACUUGUCAUGUGCCGCCAUUCUUGAUCCGAGGUACAAAGUGAAAUUUGUGGAAUAUUGUUUUAAUAAGUUAUAUGGAUGUGUAGAGGCCUCAAGACGAAUUAACUUGGUGUUGGGAACUAUGAAGUCAAUGUUUGAGGACCAUAAGUUGCAAUAUGCUAGUAGUUCACCUAUUGUAGUUGCUCCUUCUCCACCUAGUACUUCCGGAGCUAGAAAAUACUUUGAUGAUUAUGACCAUUUUGUCGGUACUAGUGCAAGGUCUCAAGUAGGAAAGUCACAACUUGAGAUGUACCUAGAUGAUGAUGCUUUAGAUCUCAAUUCACAAUUAGAUAUUUUGGAGUUUUGACAUCAAAGUUCUAUGAGGUAUCCUGUGGUAUCUAAGAUGGCACGGGAUUUGUUGACUAUUCCUGUGAGUACUGUAGCUUCAAAGUCUGCUUUUAGUAUUGGAGGAAAGACUGUUUCGGCAUCGCGAAGUUCAUUAAAGUAAAAAACAAUUCAAGCUUUAGUAUGUAUGCAAGAUUGGCAUCGUGAAAGCAAUCAAGUAGAGGUUGAUAGUGAACUUGAAGAUGAAAUCAUUGAAGAAGAAGAGGAUGAUGAUGCAGAUCCUUUCUACUAGGGAUGUGUGCUUGUUGGUGGGACUAUUUGGUUGGCUUGCUGGUCAUCUUGCAGUGUUGUUGAUAAUUCUGCUUCUGGGAUGCUGCUGGAUACUUCUUGCUAGGCUACUGUCUCUGUUUUGCCAGGUUGCUGAAGCUGCCAGCUGCUUGUUCCUGCUUUGCUGCUGGUCAUGGAACUUGGAGUAGUCACAUUAUAUUGCAAUAGUUCUUAAACAUUAUAUUGUUUGUGGUUCUGUAGCCUUAUAUAUUGUUUAUUUUUUUCAUUAACUGUAAACAAGAGUAUUUUUUCUAGAUAAUAUUACCUUCAUCAGCAUUCCUUUCUAAUACGAAAUGUCAUUCCACA